GAUGAACGCUGGCGGCGUGCUUAAUACAUGCAAGUCGAGCGGACAGACGAUGAGCUUGUGCCGCUCUCGUUAGCCGCGCACGGGUGAGUAACGCGUGGAUACCCCACCUAUAUUUCUGAGAACACUUCGGGAAACCGGAGCUAAUACCGGAUAAUAUCUUGAACCGCAUGGUUGAAUGGUGAAAGACGGCUGUGCUGGCACGUAUAGCUGGUUCCGGGCCGCAUUGGCUAGUUGGUAAGGUAACGGCUUACCAAGGCAACGAGGCGUAGACGAGGUGGGAGAGGGAUAGGCCACACUGGAACUGAGACACGGUCCAGAGUCCUACGGGACGCAGCAGUAGGGAACCGGCCGCAGUAGGCGGAAGCCUGACGGAACGACGCCACGCCAGAGAUGACAGCCUUCGGAGCGUGAAACUCUGUUAUUAGGGAAAAACAACUGUGUAAGUAAAUAUGCCCGUCGUGACGGUAACGAGUCAGAAAGCACCGGCUAACUACGUG
rnacentral:rRNA from 1 species